CGCCCAGAUCCUGGCGUUGAAGAUCGGAGACACGCGCCUCAGCACCAUGGAGACGGGCACCGGACUCAUCCGCGCGAUGAUAGAGGUGAUCAACUAUAAAUGUGACCUGGUUAACUACAGCUAUGGAGAAGCUACCCACUGGCCCAACUCAGGGAGGAUCUGUGAGGUGAUUGGUGAAGUGUCUGGUAACUCUGUGUGUCCUCUGUGUUGUCCAACAGGAGGAUCUGUGAGG